rnacentral:lncRNA from 1 species
GGGAGAGGGGCCUGGCAGGAGCGUUCGGAACCCCGGGAAGCAGAAAGGAGUGCUCCGCGUUUCCCGCGCGGGUUCUCCCGCCUCGGCUCUGAGCGGACUGGAGGGGCUUUGUGUAAGGUGCUGUGGUUACCAAGGUGAAUACCCCUAUCUGGUAGGGAAGGUGGAUGUGAACAUACGCAAAGACCGUGUGCGGCGGGGUCAGCGCUGUGACAGAGGCUGUUUUUUGGUGAGGAAGAUUGGCCCUAAGCUAACAUCUUUUCCAAUCUUCCUGUUUUUAUUUUCUCCCCAAAGCCCCAGUACAUGGUUCUAUAACCUAGUUGUAAGUCCUUCUAGUUCUUCUAUGUAGGGGGCUGCCACAGCAUGGCUUGAUGAGUGGUGUGUAGGUCCACACCCAGGAUCCCAACCAGUGAACCCCAGGCCACCAAAGCAGAGCAUGCAAACUUAACCACUAUGCCACUGGGCUGGCCCCUGUUCUUUAUUAUUUUAAUCAAAUUUAGAAGGAAAAUUUAGCCAAGCCCAAAUGGAAAAAUGGUUUGUUAAAAAAGAAAAGCCACAAAAUAAAUACCAGAGACUAAAUUUCAGGGCCUUUAAAAGUACAAGUGCUUAAGCUGCCGCCUGAAGAUUCUCAUUCAGAGGGUCCCAGGUAUUUCUAUUUUUUCAGACCUCCACAAAUAAUUUUGAUGUUCAGCAGGGUGAGACCCACUGAGAUAGACAUUCAUCAUUAUCCUGUCAAAUGAUCUAAUAAACACUCUGUCUGAUCAGAAAUAGCAGUACAAAGAAAACUUCCAUAAUUAGAAUUUUUUUACCCUAAUAAAAUAUGUUCCUACUUGUGGGUUUUUCCAUUUCCAUUUAUUUAGCUGUACUCUGACAAAUUUGUAGCCUUUGUACGUAAUCCAGAACACAGAAAGGACAGCUUUUGAUAAAUACGUGUGGUUCUGUACAAUGUAAGGAAAAAAUAUGGCAUAGGAGUGAUAGCCAGGGGUUAGCAGGAAGAGGAAUAAAAGCAGAAAAAAAUGUCAUCUGCAUGUCACUCAAAAAGUAUUGAUGGAAUUAUAAGGAUGAUCUCCCACUGUGACCAGCUGUGGCCCUUUCCUAAGGAAUAGAAGUCUCAAAUAGUCUCAUGAGAUUAAUAUGCAUAUUUUUCUUUCUUUUAUAAUGCUGGCAUUGAGUCAUAGGGAGUUAUUGUUAAAGACUAAAGAGUAGAAAGAAAAAGCCAAAUAGAGCCUUGUCCUACCCAGCUUAGCUUCCAAAGAAUAUAAUGAAAAAGAUGGUCGAUUCUUUGAAAAAGUAUUGGCGUUAACUAGUUUUCAUGAUGACUAUGUUUCGAGACCAUCAUUUCCCAAAGUGUGCUCUUUAUAAAAAAUAGUUCCUCAGAAGGCUAGAGGUAUUACUUGAAGGGGUUCCUUGAUGAAGU